rnacentral:rRNA from 1 species
AUUGAACGCUGGCGGCAGGCCUAACACAUGCAAGUCGAGCGAGCGGCGGACGGGUGAGUAAUGUAUGGGGAUCUGCCCGAUGGAGGGGGAUAACUACUGGAAACGGUAGCUAAUACCGCAUACCAUCGGAUGAACCCAUAUGGGAUUAGCUAGUAGGUGGGGUAACGGCUCACCUAGGCGACGAUCUCUAGCUGGUCUGAGAGGAUGAUCAGCCACACUGGGGCUGAGACACGGCCCAGACUCCUACGGGAGGCAGCAGUGGGGAAUAUUGCACAAUGGGCGCAAGCCUGAUGCAGCCAUGCCGCGUGUAUGAAGAAGGCCUUCGGGUUGUAAAGUACUUUCAGCGGGGAGGCGUUACCGACAGAAGAAGCACCGGCUAACUCCGUGCCAGCAGCCGCGGUAAUAC